rnacentral:tRNA from 1 species
UCGAAUCCCGGGCAACCCAUUGUCAUAUCGAAGUC